UAAGUUCUUCCCCCGUCUUCCUAGGACAGAGAGGGAGACACCUUUACAGAUGGAGAUUUCCUUUACAGACGUAAAUGUCUCUUACAAAAGGCUUCCUGAGUGUCCUUAUGAUACGGCAGCUGGCUGCCCUAGCGUGAGUGAUGAGAGAGAGAGGAAGAGACAGAGAACUCACCUGCGACAGAAACCAUCGUCUUUUUAGAACCUGACCUUGGAUGUGACAUCUCACCACUUCCGCCAUAUUCUAUUCAUCAGAAGUGGGUCGGCAAGUCCAUCCACACUCAAGGUGAGGGGAAUUAAGCUCCACCUCUGGAAGGGAGGCGUAUUGCAGAAUUUGUAGACAUAUCUUUGAAGCCACUACAGUCCACCCUGGUGACAAAUUAUAUUCCUCCUAUGAGCAAAAUACACUCAUGUACUCCUCAAGGGCCCUCAAGAGACUUAUUCAUCACUGCACCAGCUUGAAGUCCAGAAUCUUGUCAUCUAAGUCCGGUCCAGGAGAGGAGAGCUCCUCACGUGCAGAUCCUUAAGAUCAGCUCGUUGAGUUUAGUUCUUUUUUUUUUUUUUUUUGAGGAAGACUAGCCCUGAGCUAAUUGCUGCCAAUCCUCCUCUUUUUGCUGAGGAAGACUGGCCCUGAGCUAACGUCCGUGCCCAUCUUCCUCUGCUUUAUAUGUGGGAUGCCUACCACAGCAUGGCGUGCCAAGUGGUGCCAUGUCUGCACCUGGAUCCAAACUGGUGAACCCCGGGCCGCCGAGAAGUAGAACAUGUGAACUCAACCGCUGUGCCACCGGGCGGCCCCAGUUUAGUUCUUGUGAACUGUAAAAUUGAAGAAAUGGGUUAUUGCCCCCCUCCCCCCCCACAUAAAUGAUGCACAGGCGUCGGAUAACUGCUCCAGAUAUUCCUGUUCAGAAAGAGGGAAAACAGGAGGGCUGAAGGAUUCAGUGGUCCACGGCAGUUCUAAAAUCCAGUCAGGCGGGCCAGCCCCAUGGCACAGUGGUUAAGUACGCACAUAUAAAGUAGAGGAAGAUGGGCAUGGAUGUUAGCUCAGGGCCAGUCUUCCUCAGCAAAAAGAGGAAGAUUGGCAGCAGAUGUUAGCUUAGGGCUAAUCUUCCUCAAAAAAAUAAAAAAUGAAAAAUAAAAUAAAAUAAAAUCCAGUCAGGCAAAUGGCAGUUCAGUUGCAAGUUCCUUGACGAGGUCUCAGCCUGGGAGUAACCUCUGUGGUUCUUGACUCCCCUCUCUGAACCCUUGGUUCUGCCCUCUUCAUCAACCUUCCCUUUUCACAAAAGGUAAUGUGUAUGUGCUCUAUUUUCCUAACCCAAACUCAUAAAGAAUUCUCCUAUGUUUUCUUCUAAAAGCCUAAUAGUUUUAUGUUUCACCUUUUAGUUUUUGAUCCAUUUCAAGGUAAUUUGUGUAUAAAGUGUGAGGUAUAGAGCUUCAGAUUUUUUGCAUAGAAAUGUUCAACUUCUCCAGCACUGGAGGAUGG
rnacentral:lncRNA from 1 species